GACAUAGGUGGCGAACGUUAUCCGGAAUUAUUGGGCGUAAAGGAUGCGUAGAUGGUAGAAUAAGUUACUGGUCGAUGCCAAACUCAAUUUGACGGAAGCUGGUAAUACUGUUCUGCUAGAGGGCAGGAGAGGUUGAUGGAAUUCUGUGUGGAGCGGUGAAAUGCGUUGAUCUACAGAGGAACACCAAAAGCGAAGGCAGCUCUCUGGGUCCCUACCGACGCUGGGGUGCGAAAGCAUGGGGAGCGAACAGG
rnacentral:rRNA from 1 species